UAAUACGGAGGGUGCGAGCGUUGUCCGGAAUCACUGGGCGUAAAGGGCGCGUAGGCGGCUUUUUAAGGGUGCGGUGAAAGCCCGGGGCUUAACCCCGGGUCGGCCGUGCCGACUGAAAAGCUGGAGCACUGUAGAGGCAGGUGGAAUUCCGGGUGUAGCGGUGGAAUGCGUAGAGAUCCGGAAGAACACCAGUGGCGAAGGCGGCCUGCUGGGCAGUUGCUGACGCUGAGGCGCGACAGCGUGGGGAGCAAACAGGAUUAGAUACCCUGGUAGUCCACGCCGUAAACGAUGGGCACUAGGUGCCUGGGGGAGCGACCCCCUGGGUGCCGGCGCUAACGCAUGAAGUGCCCCGCCUGGGGAGUACGGCCGCAAGGCUG
rnacentral:rRNA from 1 species